rnacentral:rRNA from 1 species
GAACGGGUGAGUAACACGUGAGUAACCUGCCCUUAACUUCGGGAUAAGCCUGGGAAACCGGGUCUAAUACCGGAUACGACGGACCACCGCAUGGCGGUCCGUGGAAAGCUUGAUGCGGUUUUGGAUGGACUCGCGGCCUAUCAGCUAGUUGGUUGGGGUAAUGGCCCACCAAGGCGACGACGGGUAGCCGGCCUGAGAGGGUGACCGGCCACACUGGGACUGAGACACGGCCCAGACUCCUACGGGAGGCAGCAGUGGGGAAUAUUGCACAAUGGGCGAAAGCCUGAUGCAGCGACGCCGCGUGAGGGACGAAGGCCUUCGGGUUGUAAACCUCUUUCAGCAGGGAAGAAGCGAAAGUGACGGUACCUGCAGAAGAAGCGCCGGCUAACUACGUGCCAGCAGCCGCGGUAAUACGUAGGGCGCAAGCGUUAUCCGGAAUUAUUGGGCGUAAAGAGCUCGUAGGCGGUUUGUCGCGUCUGCUGU